GAUGAACGCUGGCGGUAUGCUUAACACAUGCAAGUCGAACGGACUCUUCGGAGUUAGUGGCGGACGGGUGAGUAACGCGUGGGAAUCUGGCUUUGGGUUCGGGACAACCACUGGAAACGGUGGCUAAUACCGGAUGUGCCGAGAGGUAAAAGAGAAAUUGCCUGAGGAUGAGCGCGCGUCUGAUUAGCUAGUUGGUGAGGUAACGGCUCACCAAGGCAGCGAUCAGUAGCUGGUCUGAGAGGAUGACCAGCCACAGUGGGACUGAGACACGGCGCAGACUCCUGCGGGAGGCAGCAGUGGGGAAUUUUCCGCAGGGGGCGAACGCCUGACGGAGCAAUACCGCGUGGGGGAAGGACGUUCGGGGGGUGUAAACCUUUUUUCUUAGGGAAGAACAAAGUGACGGUACCUAAGGAAGCAGCAUCGGCUAACUCCGUG
rnacentral:rRNA from 1 species